GACGAACGCUGGCGGCGUGCUUAACACAUGCAAGUCGAACGAAGUGGCGAACGGGUGAGUAACGCGUAAUCAACCUGCCCUUCAGAGGGGGACAACAGUUGGAAACGACUGCUAAUACCUCAUACUGAAGGAGGGGAUUGCGUCUGAUUGGCUGGUUGGAGGGGUAACGGCCCACCAAGGCGAUGAUCAGUAGGCGGUCUGGGAGGAUGAACGGCCACCUUGGGACUGAGACACGGUCCAGACUCCUACGGGAGGCAGCAGUGGGGGAUAUUGCAACAUGGGGGGAAGUCUGGCGGCGCAACGCCGGGUGAGGGAUGACGGCCUUCGGGUUGUAAAGCUCUGUUAAUCGGGACGCGGUACCGGAAUAGAAAGCAACGGCUAACUACGUGCCAGCAGCCGCGGUAAUAC
rnacentral:rRNA from 1 species